UGCGUCUCCUGGCUUGCUCAGCCUUCUUUCUUUUAGCACACAGGCAUGGUCCAUAGUGAUUGGACUCUUCUACAUCAAUCUAAAAAAUGCCCCACAGGCCAAUCUGAUGGAGGCAUUUUCUCAAUUCAGACUCCCUCUUCCCGGAAACUCUAGGCUUGGGUCAAGUUGACCAAAACCAACAUACUGCCUGGUGUAUAAUGCCCUGACCAUGCACUCCUGAAUCCAUAAACACCCCCUCGCCUCCCCUAACCCCGGUCUCUCUUCAUGGCAAUGGGCUGGGAGCUGGGGCCUUUCCUGGAACCGGAUCCCAGCCAGGUAAAGACCUUAAAGCAGACAGGCCUCUUAGAGGGCUGGGACUGAGACCACUGAGUGGUGGACAGAAGGGUGAAGGACUGAAGCUUAGAUUCUGGGUCUUUCUUCACAGACCUGGGAGAGGUAUGAAGCCCCCCAGUUGGAGAUCUAGGAGUCCGAGGGAGGGAUAGCUCCCUCAUUCCUCUGCCUGUUUCAGAGUUUGCCUCCUCUCGAGACCUCCCAACUCACUCCACUCCCUUUUCUCCCCAGGAUACGGAAAUGGAGUGGAUGUUCUGCCAGGCCAUGGAACAGACAUGAAGGCCCAGAAGCCAGGAUUUCGGAAUGGCCAUGGGCUUGGAAUCCAGAUGGGCUACAGGAGUGGACUGGGGCCUAGAGCCUUCCAGGGCCAGGGACCACGACCAGGUAAGGGGCACAGAAAGAGGAACAAAGCACCUUAGGC